rnacentral:tRNA from 1 species
GGGGCGGUAGCUCAGCUGGUUAGAGCAGGGGACUCAUAAUCCCUUGGCCGUGGGUUCGAGUCCCACCCGCCCCA